GCGAGAUUAGGGAAGCAGUGUUUUCUUUUCUUCCCGUAGUUGGCUUGAGCACGCCCACUGCAGAGGGAAAUGCCUGGGGUCUAAGAACUUUGAUAUCUCGCUUAAACUUUUCUCAAAACCCUGUCCUCGUUAUUAAAUUGGCAUUAAUUGGCUUUGGGGAUGGGAACCAAACUUUCAGUCAUAAAUUUUGACACCCCAGAGGGGACUUUAAAGGAGUCCCCACUCUGCCAUCUUGGGGAAGCCUAGCACUCGAAACAACUGCAAGCAGAGGAUGAACUUUUUGGGAGCUGACUACUGAAAAUUUGGGAGAUAUAGAAAAUGCCUGGUGCCUGGGGUCAAACCAAACCAGAGGAACUAAUCCUGUAAGUAAAAGGUGAGGCUAAGGGACUCCCAGCAGCUGCCAGAGCCAUUUUGCUUUGGGGAACUCCCUCAUUCCUUACUUACACUUUAAGUAUUACUCCACCUCUGUUUACUUAACAAAAGGGACAAUGAAUGCAGUAAUGUGUUGAUAUUAUAAAUUGUUUCUUGGGGAUGACCUUGGUUAAAUGUGUAUCUAAAAGAUGAUUUUUUACUGUAACAAUCUGGUAUCUGAAUGGGUUUCUAAAGCAUUGCACAAUCUUGCAGUUAAGAGUUGGGUUUAAGUAAUUGUUUAGUUUGAAAUUUCAGAUAGUUCAUGCUAGAAAACUUAAAUACUUAGGGUAAAAAAAAAUUAGAAAGUUUCAAUUUUGAACUGGGUAGCCUGAGAAAAUUUCACUAGGUAUUCCAGUGCAUUAACUUGGGCAAAGAUAAUAAAUUAUGAUAUGGUGGUAUCUGUUCCCCUCAGUGUGUAAGAUUUAAAAAAAAAAAAAGGUGCUAAAUUAAAAUGUUGGUCUGGCUUAUUGAAAUGACAUUAAUUAGCAACAGUCUUGGGAAUUUUUAGAGCUUAAUUUUGGAUAUACAUGGUAGAACUUAAUACUACUUUUACUACUUUAGGAUCUUAAGAACAAAGACAGUGGCUUAAUGAUCCUGAAGAAAUUUCUUCUGUGGUAGCUUUUUUAUUAUUAAGAUCCUAUUUUCAGUUUUGUGUGAGCAAGUUUUUCUAAUGUAAAGAGAUAUAAAGAUAUAAAAUUUUGAGAAUUACAUCUUAAACUUGCAUCAUAAUUUUCAACAUCCAAACCUGGAAAUUAUGACUUAUAGCUAAAAUGCCUUAGGCAUGAGGUUUCUGCUCAGAAUUCCAGUUUUCCCAGUUCCUUCCAGACCUCAGCCAGGACUUAAGCUGAUAUGCAAAUAAAAGAAGCCUGCAGCACUCAGCAGGAGACAGAUCUCAGACCCAAGGGGAAAAAAAAAAAAGAUUAAAAGUGUCUUUUUACCUGAACUCAAACUAGACCCCAACCAAAAAGUAAAUUAUAUGGUAUUUACUAAUUACUGGCCAGUCAUCUUUUUUAGGACUCUUGCUUUUUCUUAGAUUCUGUAUUUUUUUUUUUGAGCUCAUGAUUUUGAUCCUGCAGACGGGUUAAUAUUUUCUGAUCAGUUCUAUUUUUGAUCAAAUGUGGAGUUUUUAAACAUUGCAAUGGAGAUUUCACCUGAAAAAGCUACAAGGCCUUUACUAUUGUGUUAUGUGUUACGCUUGUGUUACGUGUUGUAUGUCGGUAUGUCUGUAUGUGUGUAUGUCCAUAUAUCCUGCAGUGAUAUGACAAUUGACAUAUGAGGAGCGCUCAUGAAAAAUUUAAAAAUGGAUCCAAAUAUCUUUGAUUCACGUGAUUCAAAUGGUUCAAUUUAAAUUUGGUAAACAGAUAAAAGUAAAGAUGUCUUUAAAAUUAAGCUUAUAAGUUUUUCUAGGUGUUCAAAAAGACCCUAAUAAAAUGUUGAUGUCUAUGAAAUAAUCUGCUUAAAUUCAGAAAUUUACAAGUAUUGUUUCAAAAUGUGAACAGAAAGAGGUUAACAGAUGGAAAAGAGAAACUAAAAGGUUCUAGAUAUAGAUUUAAUAGAGGGAAAAUGUGUUUCUGGAUAAGAGAGUCUAUAUGAUUAAGUACUUAAGAGGGUUUAAAUAAGUGAUAAAAAAAGGUCUGUGUAAGUUGGCUAUAUAUGUAAGUUUUUGAGCAAGUAAUCUUAAAAAAAUUAAAAAUUAUACAACUAUGGUUAAACAACAACUGUUAUUUUUCAAUACUUUUCUUGUGCUCUCUUGCUCUGCAUAAUGAAGUUCUUUCAAACCCAAUUUCAGAAAGUUUCUAAUCAAACUUUCAACCAGCUUCUGCUUAGGCACUACCGGCCUCUGAUGACUGAUGAACCCCCAACAUCUUCAAGAGAACAGUUCACUCAGUGCUGAAGCUCACUACCAGGCACGAUGGAAUACAACGGACAUCAGACAGCGGGAGACAACGAGUUCGGAGAACCUCUCAAUCUACCAUUCUGGGUUCAUGAGUCUUUAUGUCCUUCUAAGCCUCCUCAUGGCCCUUGGCCUCUUUUCUGUCAGUCCCCCAACAUGGAACUUCUGCCAAAAAAUUGACCUUUGCUUUAAUUUUUAUCUUCAUUCUGUUUUUAUUCGCUCUGAUUUUCUUCAGGUGCUGGUGAUGCCAACAUGGUGCCUAAGGACUUCUUCUUCCUACCUCCUUCUUCUCUGCAGUGGCGCGAAAAGUUCCUGCCCGUGUGAACUCUCCAGCUGGCGCCAAUCUCAAAUCUUGCUGGCGGAGAACCUUAGCCCCAAUGAGAACUAAUUCCUGGGCUCCGGAGCUGAUAUCUGGAAGAACUUACCAAUAAACUGGUUGCCUGCCAUUUAUCUAAGCCCUACCAUCUCCCCCUUAGUUCUAUAUAAGCACACAGCUUUUUGCAAGGUUAAUUAUGGUGCCAUUAAUAUAUGUUCAUAUUUUCCAGGUAUACAAGUCUGUAAGGUAGAAGCUUCAAAAGACCAUUGUAUUAAGCUGGUGUUCUAAGGUUGUAUGGUAAUUUUAGGCUUAAAAGAAAAACAUGUUGGAGAUUUAUUUAUAUCAUUUGUGUUCUACAACUGGACUUGUUAUCAGUUCCAUGUUACUUUUUACACUGAGAUACAAUUUAAAUGUAUUUUUAAGUUAAUGAGAGCCUAAUCUGUGUAAAGGUUUUAUUGUAAAACACCAAAGUACUUUGCUACUCUUCUAUAAAAGGUUAGAAGUUUUCAGCCUUUAAUUCAUGUUUUAGAUGUGAUAUUAUGUUGUGUUAGUUAAUAUCAAUGUAAACUUGAGCAACAAUUUAUGUAGGCUUUGUAAAAUGAUGUCUAAAAAGCAAAGAUCAGCUUCAGAACUAUAAUAUUUAAGAUUUAUGAAGAGCCCCGCCUUACUUCAGAUAAGACUCUAUGUCCCACCUCAUGUGAAAGAGACUAUGAAAGUAGGCCAGAUUUCAGUACAUUUAAAGUUGUGUCCAAAAGUUGGUUUUUGCCAAGUUUACUAGGAUCUCAAACAGGGGAUUAUGAUGUAUAACCCUGCCAGAAUUCAAGGUAGCUAUUACAUAAACUAAAUAUGUCUUUACCCUAGUUAAUUUUAGUUUGUAGUUUGCUUAUAGAUGGUCUAAGGAUUGCCUGUUAAUGUUUUAAAGAGGUACUGCUUUAAGAACACACAACCUGGGUCAACUUAAGAUAAGGAGUUAUCAACUACAGGAUAGAGAGACAGACAUUAAAGCCCAGUGCUCUUAAUAUAAGGCUGUUAACUUAUUUGCUGGAUGUUUAAGAUUAAGUUUUAAAAUUAAAGUUAAAUUAAAAGGGCCAAGAAAACCAAUAUUUGGCUCUUUCCCUCUGAGUCAGUCUGAAUCAGGGAAUAGUGGACUUCUCCAAAGAGCUUUGCAACUCUAGGCCACAUAACCUCCCAGUCAGGGAGAUUAAUGAGACCAGUGGAGGACAGAAAGUCAAUCAGUGCAUUUGCUAUGAAGAGGAGGGUCAUCAGAGAAGGGAGAUAUCCCUGAUGCUUCUGAGGGAAGCUACAUGGUCAAGCAAGGCCUGGACCCAUCCUAGCGCAAAUGGCACUAGCGGAACUGAGAAGCUGCUGUAAGUUCCCCGAGGACUCCCAGGGAAACUCAGUGGACUGUUAACAAUAGAUAGAAACAAAAGUCAGUUUGACUUGCUUCAUCUUAAACACUUAGCAAAAACAGUCAAAGCCAAAGCACAGCUGUUCCUGGACAUUUUAAAUGAUAAUAAUAGUUAAAUGUAACUUCCAUAAAUAAGUAAACUGGAGGCUACAAAAGAGAUUCUCAGACAGGAAUGCCUGAUAACUAUUAAAAGGAACUGCCAGAGUAGUUUUUAGUUUAAGGACCACAGAUAUUCCUAACCUACACAGGUAGGCUUAAUGUUUGCUAGUAUGGUUAUCCAGCCCUAAGUAACAGAAUUAAAGAUUUCCCUAUUAGACACAGAGGUCAUACUAGUAAAAGGAUUUUGCAAGAUCAGAUGGCAUUAAAUUAUUAAACUGUAUCUUAAGGGAAAUGACAUCUGUAACCCUAAAUGUUAAUUGUUGUGUUUACAUCCCUGACAUUUCUGGCAAGGUGAAAAAUAUCCUUAAAGAUUUACAUGCUCAGAUGAAGCCAUGUACUCAGCAACUUUGUCAUGGAAACAAUAUCAGCUCCUGGUUCUUGGUACUUCUUGGUAGAAAACAUUGUUAGUCUUUGUCUUUGCCAUUAUACUCAUUGACAUAUUCCUGUGCUAUGGGAUUUAUUGUUGCAUCAAUCUGGUUCCAAAACUAAUGAAUUCUUGUUUCUCUUAUAGACCACCCAUCACUCAAAUGGCCCUCCAGCCUAUUACUUCUCAAUCGGACUUUUGUCAUGGACCACUCGAUAGACCCGAUUUUAAAGGGGGACUCCAAACUGCUUGCCCCACACCGUCCCUUUUCAGCCUGAAGAAGCCAGAAAGAUCCUCUUCGCCCCCCUUCCUUACAGCAGUGAGGAGUUCCCAAAUUAGAGGGGGGAAUGAAGCCAGAUUUAAAGUUAGGUAGUCAGUGUAGUUAGAUAAAUCGGGGUCUAAUACCGAGUAAAAUCUGAAAAGGAGGCCACGCUGAGAAUGAUUCCAGGGAACACAAAACAACUCAUGAAAUGUGAAACCCUUCAAUAAUUGUGAUUCAUUACUUUUAAGAUUAAAAGUAGUCAGAAAAAGGAGUGGGGAAUGUAAGGGUAAAAAAAAUUGAAGUUAAAGUGUAAAAGACCAGGUAUUGUAAAGUUUCUAAGCUGCAAGGACUGAGUUAAAAAAUAAAGGACCAGGUAUUGUUAAGUUCCUAUGCUACACACAAAACCUGAAAUUCCUGUAGCUGUUAGGACAAUACUGGAACUGCCCAGUAAAUAUUCCCCCUGACCAUCUGGUUGUUUAAUAACCUAGGACCCUGUGUGGCCUGGCACGUAGGCAUCGCAGGGCCUAAACCAAUCAGUUUGAAUGUACCUCCCUCCUUAGAACUCACCUAUCACUCCUGCCCAACCUGUUCCCACCAAUGAAUGUGCUAAUCAAAUUUGAGAAUUGUUGUUUGAUUUUCCCACGGUGUAUAAUGAUUUGUUAAAGGAGACUGUGAUGUAUGUAAAGUCCCCGCCCUCCCCAAAAAGUGUACUUAAGCACUGCUCAACCCCUGCUCUGGGCUCUGGGCUGCUCUCCCUUCUUGAGCACGGAGCCCCAGCAUGCUGGAUUGGAUCCUCAAUAAACCCCAUUUGCUGUUGCAUGAGCCACGGUCUCUUGGUGGUCUCUUCCUCCGAAGUUCGCCGGACCCUUACAUGAGAUCAAUUUGAUUCUGUGUGUUUUCAAAUCCUUUCAUCUUAAAAUAAUCAGAAUUCCAUAAUUCUGCUGUACCAUGUGGCCUCAAUCUCAUAUUAUGUGGAUUUUGGCAAAUUCCAGAAUCUCUGUAUACAUCUCAGUUUCCUCAUAUAAAAGAUUCAGGAGGAUGGUUGUGAAGAGUAGAUAAGAAAACUCAUUAGCAGUUUAGAAUCAUGCCUGGCAUAUAGUACUCAGACCCAAAUUCCCUUCC
rnacentral:lncRNA from 1 species